rnacentral:rRNA from 1 species
UCGUAACCUGCCUAGCAGUAUGACUCGUGAACAUGUGACCAAUACACGUGGGGGGGCAGAAGUGCGCAAGCUCUUUUUCCCCUCUUCGGGCAGCACUCGGUGUUUCCCCACACAUUGCUUUAUGCCUUGGUGGAGUCAUCACCGGAUGCUCUCGGCCUAACCAAAACCACGGCGUGAAUUGCGCCAAGGAAUUUUAUGAAAGAUCAUUUCUCCGUCGGUGUGUUUUCACAUUCGAUAGGAAGAUGUGUCAUCUUCGUGAUGUCUUUAAUGACUCUCGGCAACGGAUAUCUCGGCUCUCGCAUCGAUGAAGAACGUAGCGAAAUGCGAUACUUGGUGUGAAUUGCAGAAUCCCGUGAACCAUCGAGUUUUUGAACGCAAGUUGCGCCCGAAGCCAUUUGGUUGAGGGCACGUCUGCCUGGGCGUCACGUACACACAUCUCGCCACAAACGCUUCACUCACUGUUGGUGCGUGAGUUUGUGACGAGACGAUACUGGUCUCCCGUGAUGCAACGUUGCGGUUGACCCAAAAAUGAGUACCUGGUGACGAGACGUCACGAUAAGUGGUGGUUUAAGCCAAUUUUGGUUUUGCCGAAUCGAGUCGUGAGUUGUUUUUCGCUUUGAAAUGUACUCGAGAUGAACCCCACACGUCU